rnacentral:rRNA from 1 species
CGGAGGGAUCAUUACCGAGUUUACAACUCCCAAACCCCUGUGAACAUACCAAUUGUUGCCUCGGCGGAUCAGCCCGCUCCCGGUAAAACGGGACGGCCCGCCAGAGGACCCCUAAACUCUGUUUCUAUAUGUAACUUCUGAGUAAAACCAUAAAUAAAUCAAAACUUUCAACAACGGAUCUCUUGGUUCUGGCAUCGAUGAAGAACGCAGCAAAAUGCGAUAAGUAAUGUGAAUUGCAGAAUUCAGUGAAUCAUCGAAUCUUUGAACGCACAUUGCGCCCGCCAGUAUUCUGGCGGGCAUGCCUGUUCGAGCGUCAUUUCAACCCUCAAGCCCCCGGGUUUGGUGUUGGGGAUCGGCGAGCCCUUGCGGCAAGCCGGCCCCGAAAUCUAGUGGCGGUCUCGCUGCAGCUUCCAUUGCGUAGUAGUAAAACCCUCGCAACUGGUACGCGGCGCGGCCAAGCCGUUAAACCCCCAACUUCUGAAUGUUGACCUCGGAUCAGGUAGGAAUACCCGCUGAACUUAAGCAUAUCAAUAAGCGGAGGAAAAGAAACCAACAGGGAUUGCCCUAGUAACGGCGAGUGAAGCGGCAACAGCUCAAAUUUGAAAUCUGGCUCUCGGGCCCGAGUUGUAAUUUGUAGAGGAUACUUUUGAUGCGGUGCCUUCCGAGUUCCCUGGAACGGGACGCCAUAGAGGGUGAGAGCCCCGUCUGGUUGGAUGCCAAAUCUCUGUAAAGUUCCUUCGACGAGUCGAGUAGUUUGGGAAUGCUGCUCUAAAUGGGAG